AACUUUAUGCCAAAGACAAGCCCAUCGCGCUUCGUCCUUUAAUAUCAGUAUUCUUAGAGAAUACUGUAUUCUUAGAGAAUAAAAGUAUUCUUAGAGACUGAUAAAAAUGGUAGGACCCUACGGCCCAAACUUCGCUCCACCCUGAGGGAGAAGAGCGAAGGCUUCGGGCGGGACGCGGCGGUAGAUGCUCCAGCCUGGACCCCAGGGGCGCGGGUGCAGAGCGGAGGGGCGAAGCGGGGUGGAGCUCGGCGGCUUGGACCCUGCGCGGCGGCGGGGGUGCCCAGAACUCAGAUUAGCGGCGCCGUGCACGGGAGCACAAGCAGGGGGAGCAGCGGAAGGAGAGGGAGAAGCAGGCUCCCCACUGAGCAAGGAGCCGGAUGCGGGACUCGAUCCCAGGACCCUGAGAUCAUGACCUGAGCCGAAGGCAGACGCUUAACCAACUGAGCCACCCAGGUGCCCCUAUUGUGAGGAUUGUUGAUAAUGCAGAACGUGCUCAAUAAACAUAGACGAAGCAUGAUCAGUUCAA